rnacentral:misc_RNA from 1 species
AGAGUGAACGCUCUUCUUACAAAAUCUCAUCAUGGUAUGUUAUUGUUAUGUAGUAGCAUAUACCAAAAUGGAAAAAACAAAGAUUAAAGAAGCAUAUGAAUGUAUACUAUAAAAAUAUUAAGAAAAUCUCCGAAAAUGAGUAAAAUGAAAAUUAAGUUGGAGAGGGAGAUGAGGUUAUUAAUAACAUCCUUACGCCAGAGAGAGAGAGAGAGAGAG